rnacentral:rRNA from 1 species
GACGAACGCUGGCGGCGUGCUUAACACAUGCAAGUCGAACGGUGAACGAGGGAGCUUGCUCCCUCCGGAUCAGUGGCGAACGGGUGAGUAACACGUGAGCAAUCUGCCCCGAACUCUGGGAUAAGCGUUGGAAACGACGUCUAAUACCGGAUACGACGCGGGAGGGCAUCCUCUCCGCGUGGAAAGAACUUCGGUUCGGGAUGAGCUCGCGGCCUAUCAGCUUGUUGGUGAGGUAACGGCUCACCAAGGCGACGACGGGUAGCCGGCCUGAGAGGGUGGCCGGCCACACUGGGACUGAGACACGGCCCAGACUCCUACGGGAGGCAGCAGUGGGGAAUAUUGCACAAUGGGCGCAAGCCUGAUGCAGCAACGCCGCGUGAGGGACGACGGCCUUCGGGUUGUAAACCUCUUUUAGCAGGGAAGAAGCGAAAGUGACGGUACCUGCAGAAAAAGCACCGGCUAACUACGUGC